CAUAUGUGUUCAUUGUGUUAUUAUUAGUAUUGUUGAGUACUUGUGUUACUUGGACUUUUUGCAAGGUCAACAUGAUGAGCUAGAGGUAAAAUUUUUUGAGGAGAGAGCAGCUCUUGAGGCCAAGUACCAAAAAAUGUAUCAGCCAUUGUAUACAAAGCGCUUUGAGAUAGUUAAUGGUGUCACUGAAGUUGAAGG